GUCACCAAUCGCGGGAGCGCGUACCGAGCGCGCUGAGAGGACGGGUAGGCCCGUCGACCGUACGAACCUGACCGGGUAAUGCCGGCGUAGGGAGAAUGCAAUGUCUGACU
rnacentral:ncRNA from 2 species